AUGGCGCCGACGGACGCAGCGUGGUGCUCAAACGGCGAUGCUGUUGGGAAUUCCGCCGACGUGUGGCACCGCAGGGUCGGCCCUCGGCGCGAGGAGCGUGUAGGGCACCUCCACGGGCCCGUUCCGGUUCCGCAGCGCGCCGUCGGCGUUCCGCUUCUUGACGGCCUCCGCGACGGCGUCCAGCUUCGCGUUGAACUCGAGCAGCGCCUUGGCUGCCCGCUGCUCGCUCGUCCACCGUGCCGUGUCCGGCCGCUCUCCCAUGAGCGGCUCCCCCGGCUUCACCGGCGGGCUCAUGGUGAGCGCCAUGAGGCCGAACGCCUCGUUCUUCGGGGUGAUGUGGCCGAGGAACUCCGCCUCGGUCACGGCCGCCCCGGCGCCGGCCGGCAUCUCCCCGGAGGUGACGGUGGGGCGGUUGGGGACGAAGCCGUUGUACGCGUACUGCCCGAAGCUGACGGCGGAAUGGUAGGCGGAGCCGAGCCAGAUGAUGGUGGCGCAGGUCUCCACGAGGUCGCCGACGCUGUCCAUCGCCGGCCACCACGGCGCGUCGCUCAGGUCGCCGUGGCCCACGUUGCGCACCUCGCUCCACCACGCCUGCAGCUCGCUGUCGCCCGCGACGGCGCCGUCGCCCUCGGCGUAGUAUAUCGCGCAGUAGUCCGUGACCCAUUCCUUGAUGGCUGUCCAGAUCUCCAGCCCGUCGACUGCGUACGGGUAGUCCUUUAUCAGCAGCUCCAGCUCCUCAGCCUUCUUCGGAUCGCCUCUCGCCACACCUCUGCGUACAUACAAAUGCAUCAAGUAUUUCAGAUUCUAAAGCUGUGCAUGCAUUGUAGGAUUAUCAAUUUUAUCAGCAUUUUAGUCGGUACGUCUUGA
rnacentral:rRNA from 1 species